CCAACAGACUUUGUAUUCUGGGAAAUGGAGUCUCUCGCUGCAUUGGAUUUUUUUGGAGUUUGCAGGAAAUCUCCUCGGGUGAGUGCUGGGACAACCGGUCCAGCUAACGGCAGCCGGCAGUGAUUUUAAUUCAGGUCAGAGACAGGUUGCAGCCUGCAACUCUCCAGUCUAAAGCAGGCAGCCUGUUUUCUCAGCAGGCCGCUCUCCCGUAGGAAUAAGGGCUAACGUUGCCCCGGGUUUCCUCCCAGGCCCUGCUGGGAUGUGCUCACGGACGUGGCCUGGGGGCCUCCGUUCCAGCCAGCCCCGACCUGGCUGUGAUGGCUUCUCGGAAGACUUACCAGCCACGUUUCUACAGAGAAAGACUCAACUCUCCAACUGCCCCAGUCGGAGACCAGCUACAAUGACCCUGGCAAAGUCCCCAAGAAUAUGCAAAGGAGGCUGCAAUCUGAGCUAGUAGGGCUUAAACCCUGCUUGAACCCGGGUAAUCUGUACCAACGCAGAUCACCGCUCUCCUUUCCUGCAGGAGAGAUUUGCAUUGAGGGCAGCUACGCUGGCAGAUGGCCACCAAUGACUUACCCUGAAUCCAGACACCAAGGUAGCCAAGGCCUUAGUCAGCAAAAAAGGCUUCAGAUGGGAAGCAGACGCAAAUCUAGAGUUUAUCACGUUUUCAGUCUAUGUCAUAGUGAUCGAAGCAUUCAAAGCAGGAACCGCCGUGCAGAAAACCAGUCAUGGCCAGCAGCUGUCAGUGGAGCCUUGAAUGGAGGGCGAAAUAUGUUGCUACGAUGGUCUUGCAACAGUACUUUCAUUCCUAACUUUCUUUCAUAACUCCCACUCCUCGUUUUCAAGGGCAGAAACUUACAGUCAUUUUAUAUUUAAAAUUACCUUGGCCAGAGCAGGCGGGAAUGUUCUUGACGCCCAGACGUUCAGUGGAGGUGCAUCGGCUCCGUCGGUUUUUGUCAUUUCUCCAUUUCCGAGACACGUACACACGACAACCUAGCAGUGCGGGUGCUGCCCUGAGAUAUGGGAACCUGGGUGAAGGCCCUGAUUCUGCCAGAGUAAUCGGGGCUUAAAACCCCCUGCUGUGAGACAGAGCAAAGAUUCGACCCAAUCUCCCACAUCCAUCGCCUCUUUCCCAAUUGAAAACGCUCAGUUUCCAGCUGCAAAUAAUGGCCGGUUUGACACCAUUCCAUUUCCACGAGACCCUUUGCAAGUUCUUUUCCACCAUGAUGCAGAACAAGAAAAACUCACAACCCCAAAGCUACGACAGAGUAGACUUGUCCUCUAGCCAGGUCUAAUCUUACCAGCUGGGCUGAACAAGGUCAAACCAGAUUGGAUACACCAGGCUCAGAAAGGUUUUAGAUACCCGACAGGCUUAACUCGGACUAUGAGAGAAGGCUAUUGGGUGAGCUGGUCCAGAGAAGGUGAGUGGAAGCAGGGGAAGUAUUAAGUGUCGGAAGAAAGAGAUUUAUUAGACAAGCACUGCUUCUGUAAAACAAGCUGUCCCGUCAGGAUGUGGCCAUGCAAUAGUUACUGGGAAUGUGCCUUUCUAGUCCAGUCCAGUAUCAUGCUACCUUCCCUUUCCCCUCCACCGAAAUCAAGUGGUUGGACAUGUAGUUGGAAGAACGUCUAUUUAAUCCCUCUGUGAACUCUGCUUUGCAAAUGGGGCUUUUGUCCUCUACAUCAUGACUUCCUGUGUAAGGAGUCCCAGCCCCAAACCACCAUCUAGUGUAGGUAGCAAGGACUAUACAACAAAUACAUCUUUUAAACCUCCUACUUCAGGAUGCCAGCAGACUGCCUGCAGGGGUCAAGAGAGCUCCCAGCACAUUAAGCUUCAGACCCCACAGAUUGCUCUUCAUCUUAUACUUCAGAGGACGAUUUUAGUCCCUAGGAAAAGCAGGAUACUGGACUGGUUGGAGUCCAUCUGCGGUCUGAGUGGUGGUCUUUCUGAAUGCUCUGUUCAUAUUUCUGCUCCCUACUGCACUGCUGACUGGGGAGAGGGGCAGGGAAACCAGGAGUACAUAUACAUGUGUAAAAACAGAUUAGCUCCAUGGUGGGACAUCACAUCAUGCUUCGUCACAAGGAAUAAAUCUAGACGGAAGCUUCAGUCCUGCAGGUAAGAGUGAAAAAUGAAGGUGGACAUAAAGGGGAGCUCUAUCACACGUCCCAAUUAAUCCCUCAUUCAAGUGGAGACACCAAGAAUUAACAACUGACAGGAAACCUGGCCAGGAUGAAAGCAAAGAGAAAAAUGACUGAGUUUUUCGCUGAGCGCUGGGCACCACCAGUGACUUCAAUUCGGCAGCAUAACCACGGUCAGCAGAUCCUCACGUGAGAAGCAUCAGCCCUCACAGAUCUAUGCUGUGUUAUGAAACACAGAGCACAUGUCUGUUUGAGGGAGAGACCCCGAUGGGCUUAUAGUCAGGAAAAGGAGUUGCUGUUUCACCCUUAUCUCAGGGACAUCAAUGCUGUUUCCCAAUUCCUUGCUGUCAGCCUACAGAUCGUCAGUGCUGCUGGGAGACGCUGGCACCGUACAGAAGAGCGCAGAUUUGGGUGUUUCGGGAUAGCACCUUCUGCAUCACUGCAGGGGGCUGGACUAGAUGAUCCUCCAGGUCCCUGCCAACUUUGAAUUUAGGUAAGUUUGAGGCAAAACAAUGCCGGAAGGGCAAAAGCCUCACAAGCUGAACUGCCUAAAAAAAAGAUCUGUGUCAUGCGCAGUCACCAGCAACAGACAGGCCUUGAGACACCCAACAGAAGGAGGUACUGAAAGGAGCAGAGUCCUGUUUUACUACUAACAGUGCAGAAUUGGUAGCAGGCAGCCCUGGCCUAUGGAGGUGCCCAGUGAAUUUUCCCGUCCCUUUCCAUCUGGAAUAAAGCCCACAUGCACCCUGCAUGUGCUGCUAUAAACAUCACCUUCCACUAUUAGACUGGACUGCACCAAACUGUGGGAUAUUUGCAAGUGGUGAGUUACGAUUAAAGCCGGCAUUUCCGCGCCAGUUCUACAGUAUGUUUUUGUCCACGGACAGCAUUUACUAUGACCUUCCCAGGUGUUCCCAGAUUUUGGCUUUGUUUUGUCGAUCCUUUCAUAGGCUAAGAGCUACCUGGGGUUCGCCACACAGUUCCAACAAUCUCCAGGAAAUAAGAGGAGCAAGAACGUAUUCAAAACAUUUCAACUUGGGUUGAACCCUCUAAGAAGAGCUGGGGAAUGCCCAUAGUGCUUCUUUUAAAGGGUGCCGAGCUGGUUUUUGAAGAGCCUGGAUUUAACUGCCCUCCUCAUGGGUGGAAAAAAGGAAUAAGUCAAGUCCCGGUGGCUGGAUUUGAAGGAGCAAAUGGCCUUUUAGGAUCUCAGGCUAGUAAUAUUUGCUAUGCUGCAGAACAGUGAAUUUGUAAGGCCAAGUGCCAGGCAGAUUCAACCCCCAGGUCAUUAGGCCCCUGGUACAAUGAACAGAGACAAAAUUAGCUAAAGCAUAUUCUUUCAGUGCCGGAGCCCAUGUGUUAAUUUAUUGUGCAAAGCGGCAAAAACAACUCUUUCAACUUCAACUUCUGAACACCCACAGCUCACAGCUAGGAGGUCUAACAGUGCUUUCAUUCAAAUAACUGUUGCCGGUUAAAAAUGAGCAUUUUACCACACAACCACAGGCUAGCACUAAUUAUUAAACAGAAAACCGGCUAUAGAAUAAAGAACAUAGCCA